rnacentral:rRNA from 1 species
GACGAACCGUGCGAACGUUAUUCGGAAUCACUGGGCUUAAAGCGCGUGUAGGCGGGCCGGCGCGUCGGCCGCUGAAAUCCCCCGGCUCAACCGGGGAAGCGGCGCCGAUACGGCCGGCCUGGAGGGACGUAGGGGGGCUGGAACUCCGGUGGAGCGGUGAAAUGCGUUGAGAUCGGAAGGAACGCCCGUGGCGAAAGCGAGCCCCUGGACGUCUACUGACGCUGAGACGCGAAAGCCAGGGGAGCGGAACGGG